UUGAGGAACAUAAUUUGUAAAACCAACUUUAACGUCAAGAGGAUUUUGAACUGCGAGAGCUUAAGUAUAAAAAAUGGUUGAAAAAGAAAGUCAUUGUUUUAUUGUUGGUGAAAAUCAGG